GAUGAACGCUAGCUACAGGCUUAACACAUGCAAGUCGAGGGACCGGCGCACGGGUGAGUAACACGUAUCCAACCUGCCCUUUACUCGGGGAUAGCCUUUCGAAAGAAAGAUUAAUACCCGAUAUAAAGGAUGGGGAUGCGUUCCAUUAGGUUGUUGGUGAGGUAACGGCCCACCAAGCCUUCGAUGGCUAGGGGUUCGGAGGGGAAGGGCCCCCGAAAUGGAACCGGGACCCGGGCCAAACUCCUACCGGAGGCAGGAGUUAGGAAUAAUUGUCAAUGGGCGUUAGCCUGAACCAGCCAAGUAGCGUGAAGGAUGAAGGCUUAUGGGUCGUAAACUUCUUUUAUAUAAGAAUAUGUAUUAUAUGAAUAAGGAUCGGCUAACUCCGUGCCAGCAGCCGCGGUAAUUC
rnacentral:rRNA from 1 species